CACCUCUUCCCAUUCCGAACAGAGAAGUUAAGCCCACCAGAGCCGAUGGUACUGCGGUAACACGUGGGAGAGUAGGUCGGUGCCAGAU
rnacentral:rRNA from 1 species